rnacentral:lncRNA from 10 species
AUGAUCUUGAGACCCUGUACUGAAGACUGGAGAACUGCAGGAAAGGAGCCGUGCCUCUGAAUUAUCGUGUGGAAGACUGCUUGUCUAACCGCUGACGACUGUGAGGAAGGUGAAGGUGGUUAAGGAGGUGCCGCUCUGGGAGCAGAAGGCAGUCACUGGGGCAGAUCGGUGGAGCUAUGUUACGGAGAUCCAGGAUGGUCAGUGAGGAUGCUGGGCCUCACCUGGUCUCACUGUUGCUACCCCACUCAUCAACUUGAUCUGUUUGCCCCAAUCCCACCAUUUUGGAUGACAUUAUGGAUCCUCUGAUCUUUAACAAAUCCAUCCAAGAUUGUCUGUUUCUUCUUCUAAGGUGUCGCCAGGAAUGAAGAUUCUUUCACCUGAUUUAUUUUUUCUGGUUUAACACGUGUCUGAAAAAAUAAUAGCAAUUAUUAUUAUUAUCAUUGUAGAAUUCAUUUCACUCCUCUCAAACACAUUCAAAAAGUCUCUUCAUCUCUUCCAUUAUGAUUAUACUCAGCUGUUACCCAACUACCCAACUGUAUCUUGGGGUUGUGUAAUUCUGUCAUGAGUUGUACUCAACUGUUAUCAAACAUAUCUUGGAGCAUGCAC